UUUUAGUUGUUGAUAGACCUUUAUUUUAUUUAUUUAUAGGUGGUGCUGAGAAUYGAACCCAGUGCCUCACACAUGCCAGACAAGUGUGCUACCACUGAGCCCCAGCCCCAGGCCUAAGAACGCUAAUUUAUGAUGUGUUGCCCACUAUUCCUCGUGCUUCAGAGAUACCAGCUCAGCCAUUCCUGCAACAGGCCCACGGAGGAUUCCCACUUUGUAGAUGCAGACACUGAGGCAYAGAAUGGUUAAGGCACUUGCCCCAGGUCACAUGCUGGUGAGUGGAGGAGCCAGGAUCUGAGUCCAAGGCCUUGUGUUACCCUGGACCGAACGUGCCUGGGACCAGUUCGGUAGCGCUGGAGAGACCAAGAGCUCCCCAGACAGAUGGAAUUCAAAGACACAAAUGUCACAUCCGUUUGUCGUUGUCUAUUUAGAGGCAACUUGCAGGGAGGGCUGGGACGGCAUGGACAAGUGUACCCAUUUCCUUCUUCUGGCCAGGUAUGAGGGAGCUUUGGACCAUCCAUCAGUUGUCAGGGACAUUGGGACGAAACCCUCUAAAGGUAAGGGAGACAGAUACAAUUUUUCAACCAGUUUGAUGGGUAGACUCAGCUGGCAGUGCCGCUCCCUCUCCUGAGACCAACAACAAGGAAUGCCUCCAGGGGAAGAGCACGUCUCGUCUCUGAGGAAUGAGGACUGUGUGGGCAGUGCCGAGCAGACUGGGAAGUAGGUGCCUGCAUGGACCCCAAAUAAGCGGGACAGCUUAGUGCUCAGAUAGAAAGUCCCCAAGAACAGGUGACCAGGAAAACUCCUGCUAUUAACAGUGGUCCCAGAGGGAGGACUGGGAGGGACCACUUAGCCAGGGAAGCUGCUCUGAUAUCAGAAAUAAGAUGGAACCAUGGCGUUCGCCCACUCUCUGCCUUUGGCUGGGAUGACACCGACACUUUGAGAUGGCCUGAGAAGAUGAAUAUUUCAUAGACAAACCUGUUCCCAGGCCAGAGUUCACUGAGUGUAGUCAAGGCCAACAAGCAGAUUUUGCACCUAAGCCAAGUCAAAUUGAUUCAUGGUGACUGCAGAAGCACCGAGUUCAACGGGAAUUUGAGCCUGGAUCUGAGGCAGAA
rnacentral:lncRNA from 1 species